rnacentral:lncRNA from 1 species
CCCUCUAUAAGAGCACUGAAAUUUGCCUGGGAUUUGCACUUUCUCUAGCUGGAAGAGGAAUGACUAAUGCCUGGCCAAAGCCUGAGUGCCUUUCUCCAAGUGGCAGAAUAUGUGGAGCAACUUCUGGGAGGAGAGGAAGGAGCUUCGUCUGUCAUGAUGAUCAGGGCUGGCCUGUCCUCCUGCCCUCCUUGGGCAGCUGUAAUCCAAGGAUUCCUGCUGUCAGAAUGGGCUGGAGAUGGCCUCUCUUUAGUGGAGAGACUGGACAAGGAAAUUGGUAUGAAGGUGGUCUUAGAAAAGCCUGCUGAAGCUAUGUAA